rnacentral:precursor_RNA from 1 species
GGUAUGCUGUUGCGCUGUCCUUCCUCUGGGGAGCAGGCUCCGGGGGACAGGGAAAAGCACACAAGGAACUUGUCCUCUAGGGCCUGCAGUCUCAUGGGAGAGUGACAUGCACCAGGACCACC